rnacentral:lncRNA from 1 species
CAGGAAUUAUGAUAUUGGCCAUUUCCACUGAACAAUAGAAGGACACAUGUAAGGACAUAUAGAAACUGAAGUUAACCUAAUCCCAUAGGAUAUAGUGUGAGAAUAGUACACCGAUUCAGUGAGGCAAGUACUAGCUUGUUUCCAUCCCUGUGAUGAAAGUUAGUUUAGGUAAUCUUGGUUAUAAAAUCAUUUCCUUAGAUUUUAACUUAUGGUUGGGCAGAGAUUGUUGUUUCACCUAAAUAUUUGAUUAUGCUUCUAAGUUAUGGGAAAUAGAUAGAGUAAGAGGAAAUGGGGCGUUGUUAGGUGGGACCUUGCCACGGUUGCCUUGGGUUUUGGCAUCGAAGCUCGACUCUAUAUGGCUAGCCUUCCAUGGUUAGAUCGAGGGUCCCGAGCUGCAGGUGCGCUCUUCUUUUCAUCUGCAGGUUAUGAGUUAUCUCCACCUCAAUGCGAUUUAGUUUGCGCACUAACUACUAUAGGUUGCUUAAUGUGUGGAGUGGUCUUCUUCCAUAUUUCUUCAGUUCAGUCAUGUAUUUCUUUGCGGCCAUGUUCGAUUCAAUAUCCCCUUUUGAUUCUCACACGUUGGUUGCGACUUCUUUGUUUAUGUUGGACUAUUCUGUGAACUGCCAUCACGACAGCUUGCUGAAAAUAGUGUUGUUGGAUGGUAGCCAUUAUUGGUACUACUUAAGUGCUUAUCAGUUAACUUAGCUGAGCUCUACGGGCAGCCAAAUGAUUAUUGGGUGAUUUAUUUGCAGUAAAUUAUAGCGUUUCUGUAGACAUGAUCACAUGAUAAUGCCACGAGUGACUCUGGGCCACUACCAAUAACAGGCUCUAAUCUUCCCUCUUGUUCUUCACCAAUCUUUUCUUCUCUAAUUAGCUUCACUGAUAUGUGCUUAGUUAUAAGUUUAUGUCUACUAUAAAUCUUAAGCAGAGUGAAAUAUGGUGGUUAAGGAGUAGUGUUUGACUGUUUGUACAUUUUUCCCUUGUUGUAUGGCCUGUGAGUGAGGUCAAGCAGCAAUAACUGGACAGUUAGUUAUCUAGGUCUUUUUAACACAUUCUCGGAGUGGUGAUCGACGUGUUCAUCAAAAUAUACAUUCAAAUACUCUUUUUUCAGCAUACCCCUGCCAAAAGGAAAUGGUUCAACAACAUUUUAAAUGUACCAUUUGAAUUUGUAGUCAGGUAAGGAAGUAUAAAAAGAGGCUUUUGUUAGUUUUGCUUUUACCUAGGGAAAUUUCGAGAAGCAUACUGUCCAAUUUUUCGAGUCAGUGAAUAAAUAGAGUACUUCUCCACACAGAAAUGAAUAAAUAGUACUCUGUUAUAUAAUUAUUCAUAUUCUGUCUUUUCUCAGGAGCAGGAUACAAAUUGAAAGGCUUUUCUGUACCAGGCUAAACCAACUACUUGCAUAUGGAAGAAACUUCCAUUCUAUUUUACGUUCGACCGAUGUGGAUUCUAACAAUUGAUCCAGCGUAUAUGCUAUCAUAGCAGAAUAAGAGGUAUGAUUCCAUCACCAUUAUCUCAGUUUGAUCAAGAUGUGCGACUUGCCGUAAACAUCUUAGCCUUCCUGGCCCGACGUGUUGUGUGUUAAAUAGCUGGGUUGCGAGCCCGGAUACGCGUACAAGUUAUUGGGAUACAUCUUGGAGAGAAAGAAUACUAGAGAUAAGAGAAGAUAAAGAUUACAAAGUAUCCUAGCUAACUAACUACUCCACGGUUGAUGAUCCUCCUGGUUGGAUGUGCAUCUCCUUGUUAUACACACAACAAUAUCCUGUUUGACACUCUCCCAUAAUCACAACUUCAUCAAGUUGAGAUUAUGCUUGAAGUCUUCAAAACUUCUUGUGGGUGGAGCUUUGGUGAAACCAUCCGCAAGUUAGUCUUGAGAAUGAAUAAACCGAAUAUCUAGGAGUUUAUUUGCAACUCUUUCUCGGACAAAGUGAAAAUCUAUCUCAAUGUGUUUAGUUCUAGCAUGAAAGAUUGGAUUUGCUGAUAGGUAGGUAGCACCUAGAUUAUCACACCAUAGACAUGGAGCUCUAGUGUGUUUCAUACCUAGUUCCUUCAAAAUUGACUGCACCCAUAUGAUCUCUGCUGUUGCAUUUGACAAUGCUUUGUACUCUGCUUCUGUGCUGGAUCUGGAAAUAGUGGCUUGCUUCCUUGCACUCCAAGAUAUCAAAUUGGGUCCAAAAAAUACUGCAAAAUCACCAGUUGAGUGUCUGUCAUCUAGACAACCUGCCCAGUCUGAAUCAGAUAAGGCACUAAUAAGUGUAGAGGAUGACUUGCUAAAAUUUAGGCCAAUGCUCAAUGUACUUUUCACAUAUCUUACUAUGGGUUUUGCAGCAGUCAUGUGGACAGUAGUAGGUGCAUGGAGGAACUGACAUACUUUGUAAACAACAAAGGAAAUGUUUGGUCUGGUCAGUGUCAAGUACUGAAGUGCACCUACCAGGCUUCUGUAUGUUGUACUAUUUUCUGAAUUCAGAAGCUCUCCUUCAGCCAGAGAUAAUUAUUCUAUGCUAGAUAAAGGAGUAGGUGCAGGCUUACAGCUUUGCAAACCAGCCUUUUUCACUAAGACCGUUGCACACUUUUCUUGAGAGAGGUGAAGGCCAUCCUUGUGUUGCUUGACCUCAAUACCAAGAAAAUAAUGUAGAUCUCCUAGAUCCUUGAGGGCAAAUUCUGCACUCAAGUCCUUCAACAGUGCUGUAAUUGCUUCAUCAGAUGAGCUUGUCACAAUUAUAUCAUCAACAUAUAUGAGAACAAAUAUGGAUAUACUUGACUUGUUAUAAAUAAACAACGAAGUGUCAGACUUUGAAGGAACAAAACCAAGUGCUUGCAUCUUUUUACUAAGGCGAGAAUACCAUGCUCUUGGGGCUUGUUUCAGUCCAUAUAAUGCCUUAUCCAGCUUGCACACAUGAAGUGGUGCACGUGCAUUUACAAACCCAGGUGGUUGUUUCAUGUAAACCUCUUCUUCCAGAACACCAUGGAGGAAGGCGUUCUGUACAUCUAGCUGACGUAGACUCCAUCCCCUGGACACAGCAAUGGACAAAAUAAGAUGAAUGGCGGCAGCUUUACAACUAGACUAGACGUGUCCUCAUAGUUAAUACCAUACCAUUGUUUUAAAGCCCUUUGCAACAAGUCUAGCUUUGUAACGAUCAAUGGUUCCAUCAACUUUCCUUUUUAUCCUAAAGACCCACUUACAGUCAAUAAGAUUUUUACCUCGUUGUGGGGGAACCAAAUGCCAUGUUCUGUUUUUCUUAAGUGCCAUGAUUUCAUCAUGCAUUGCUUUUCUCCAACUUGCAUCACCCAAAGCUUCUUCAAAAGUAUUGGGUUCUCCUGGUUCACCUGUUGAACAUACCAGCCCAUAUUUUGUAACAUGUUUAUAAUCAAUAGGUUUAAUUACCCCUUGUUGUAGUCGUGUUCGACGCAGAGUAGCAACGCGAACAUCUGUAGAGCGCUCCAGCACAGAAAAUCCCGGGUCUGGAUCGGGCUGAUCCUCUCCUAAUCCCUAGGAGGAUCCGCGCGGGGCUCCAUAACCAGCAGCAUCACUAGGCUAUGUUGGGGUCGGAUCUUCUGUGGUCGUGGAUCGCGGCGCGAGGGACGAUUUCGCCGUAGAAGAUCUGGGCCUGGGCGCAUCAUCAUGGCCCAAUGAUUGCCUGGGCCCCGGGCUGAGCGAAUCUGCCCUCGCGUCCGCCUAACGAGUAGUGGUGCGCCGCGUGUAUACGCACAGUUGGGCGUCUUGCUGGUCGCGGCCUAAGCCAGCACCGGCCUGCCACCUGUCGGCGAGGAGUCGUGGGCGCGAGAGGAGGCGCUGCGGCCCGCCAGGUUCUGCUGCAUGGCUGGUGCGGACUCGACCGCGCGCCCGCAUGUGCCUGUCAUGGCUGGCGCGACAGUUCGCUGCCAGGCACGGAUCCCGAAGGAUAUCUGCUGUGCGACUGCAGCACAUGAGCCGAUCCCGAGGAAGAUAUGUCCCCCGGGCCAGAACACAUGAAAUAAGGGACUGGUGCUCCAUUUUCUUCAUCAUUUUCUGCGAUUUUUUCCACCGCUGUUUUCUGCAUUAGCACAAGGCUCAUGGAGACUAUUAGUAGGGUUAUUCAACAUAUGAUCAUCACAAUUAGUAAUACCCCCCUUGAUCAUAGCCAGAGAGAUGAGAUGGUAGGAGGAAGAUUUCCUUGCGGAGUAGUGCACCGGCGUUAGGAUGAAGAUCCGCAAAGGGGAAUUUGGUCACCAAAAACAACAUCGUGUGAGAUGUAUACCCUACCAGUGGAGAUGUCAAGGCACUUGACACCUUUGUGUUGGGUGCUAUAUCCAAGGAAACACACCGUUUUGAUCUGAACAUAAGCUUGUGAUUGUUGUAAGGCCGAAGGUUUGGCCAACACGCACAACCAAAGACACAGAGAGAGGUGUAAUCAGGUUUUGUGUGUAGGAGACGUUCCAUAGGUGUUUCAUUGUUGAUGACACGGCUAGGUAAUAUGUUGAUAAUGUGGACAGCUAUAAGAAAGGCCUCAUCCCAAAACUUGAAAGUCAUGGAGGCUCCUGCUAGGAGGGCCAAGCCAACCUCGACAAUGUGCCUAUGCUUGCAUUCGGCUGACCCAUUUUGUUGGUGAGCGUGUGGGCAUGAUACAUGGUGAGAUAUGCCUAUGUUUUGGAAGAAGGAAUUAAGUUUCUUGUAUUCCCCUCCUCAGUCGGAUUGGACAACAAUAAUCUUACUGUCAAACUUUCUUUCAAUGAGUGCUUGAAAGUUUUGAAAAACUUGAAACACAUCGGAUCUUUUUUUGAGAAAAUAGAUCCAUGAAAAUUUGCUAUAGUCAUCGAUGAAACUCACAUAGUAUGUGUGUCUACCAACAGAGGAGGGAGCCGGCCCCCACACAUCAGAAAAGAUCAAUUGCAAAGGUUUGGUGGAGACACUAGCAGACAUAGGAUACUGUAAUUGAUGACUUUUAGCACACUGACAUGAAUCACAAAUAGUUCCAAUAUUGCGCUCACCAACAAACGGGAGCUUAUUUUUCCUAAGUAACUUUUCAACCAAAGAAAAAGAGGCAUGUCCUAAACGAUCAUGCCAUCGUGUGGACAAAAGCUUGAUAGCACCACAAGCUUGUUUAUUGAAUCUUCUAAACUCCGGAAUCAACAGCUAGAGCCCUCGAACACAUCUACCUCGAUAGUGAACUUUCUUCGUUGCCUGAUCCUUGAUCAAAAAGAAAUAAGGAUGAAACUCGAGGAAAACAUGAUAUUUGAUGUCAAUUCUAUGAACGGAGAGAAGAUUUUUAUGAGCACUAGGAACAUGCAAGAUUCUUUUGAGAUGAAUUUUACGACUAUGGGUAUUAAAAAUUGAAUGGCCAAUGUGACGUAUGCCCAUACCUUCACCACUGGCCGUGUGAAUUUGAUCCUUGCCACGAUAUUUCUCCUUCAUGGUGACCUUCUCGAGUUCGUUGGUGAUGUGGUUGGUAGCACCGCCGUCAACGUACCAGUUAAUGUCAAUUUCAUAGGAGCCAUGGGCCGCCGCGACAACUUUUUCUUCAUCUUGCGAUGAGUCACCGUCAUCUUCUUCGUAGAGGUACCAACAAUCCUUCGCCAUAUGACCAGGCUUGCCACAAAUUUGGCAGCGAGGCAAGUCCGAAUGGGAUCUGUUGGAGCCGCCACUGCCACCACCGCGACGCCCUUUUUUUUGACUAUGUACUGCAAGGCAACAGCCUCACAGUCUUUUAUUAAAACACAGAGCCAAGGAGUACAAAGUUACAAGGUUAAGAGAGAGGAGGAGAGAGUAAUACUUACAAAAGAAGUGGUUAGGGUAAGGAAGCUACCCAAGAGAUUAGACUAUUCCUAUAUUUACAUUUGAUUCUAUGAGCUAAAAGAGAGAUGUCCUGCAAAAAAUUCCUCCUCCAUGCCCUGAAAGAAGGUGAUUCAUUCCUGAAGAUCUUCCCAUUUCUUUGCGUCCAAAUAUUCCAAGUGGCAGUGAAUACUACCUCAGAGAAAAAAGGAUGCCCAAAAUCCCUCCUAGCAUCAGAAGCCAUGUCAUAAGUGGUCUGGUUUGGUUGUGGAUUCCAUGAAAUACCCAGGUAAUUCCAGAUACGCUGGCUAAAAUUGCAAGCGAAGAAGAGAUGUGUUCUGUCCUCAUGUGAUUUCAAGUGGCAUAGAACACAAGUGUCAUCCUGUAUAAUCCAGUGCCGUCGCUGCAUCAUGUCUCUAGUGUUUAGGCGAUCCAUCAAAAGGAGCCACCCAAAAACCUUAAACUUCAGAGUACAAGAACAUUUCCAAAUCCACCUAAAUAUGGGAUCAACCACUGUGUCCGAAAAGCAUGACAAAUAGUAAAUCCUGGACUGAUAUUUCAGUAAACAUUCAGAUGUUUCAGUAAACAAUGUUGACAAUGAUGCUGAAGUUGCUAUCUUCCAGCCCCCAAUGGGUCCACAGCAACCUCCUCUUAUGAUUGGGCAAGUUCUCACCAUCUAUGGACCAGUUUUGCCGCCUGUGAUGCAGUGGUAGCGUUCCUUCGAGAAGAUGUUGCCUUUUAUAUGGUCUUCUAGCAUCCCUCAGUUUGUUUUCAAGUCUGACAUAGGUGCUUUGCUCAACAAGCAUUCCUCUGAAGCUCUAUGCAAUGGCCCAGUUUCCACUCUUAAACUCCUGCCUGCACCUGAGUCCUUGAUCAGCAUUGCUUCGGACGUGCCAAAUGCUCCUGUUAAAAGGCCAGUUGCUAGAGCUCUCUGCUUUGAUGAUCUGGAUGCCCCAGUUUCUGAAACAUUUGAAUUUUCUGCUGUGCCUGAGGUAUCUCUGAAGAGGGCAAGGAAGUCUCAUGCCACAAGAAUUAUUGUUGAUACUGAGGUUCGGCGCAGUGCGCGCCUGAGCGCUCUCCGUAAUGGCUACCGCAAAGUAACUAGUGGCAUUUCUCCCAAGAAGUCUCAUACUUUGAAGAAGCGCAAGACCAGCAGCUCCCAGUCUGAGAACACUCCUUCUGUGCCACCACCAACUGCUAUUGCAGAUCUUCAACGCAUUGGCGCCCGUCUUCGCAUUGCACCUGAGAAGAUAUCCACGGAGAAGCUUGUUGCUGAUCCGGCCAAGUCAUGCAGCAGCCAGGGUUCUGAUGAUUAGCUACAACCUGCAGGGAUCUGGUCGAUGGCGUACCGUAAUCGCCAUUUAUCUUUAUUUUCUUGUUCAGAACUAUGUGAUGCUUGUCUGCUGUGUGGGUCAGUAUGGGUCAUUGCGUGGCCUAUUUACUAUGCUUUUACUUUUGGUUUGUAAUGAAUCAGACAAGAUUUAAGGAGUGGAAGGUGUUAUGUUGGAAUGUUCAUGGUCUCAAUUCUGAAGCUCGUCAGCUUGCAGUUAGGUAGAAGAUAGAUGAAAGUGGUUGUUCUGUUGUCUGUCUCCAGGAAACUAAAUGCAUGCAAAUGGAUCAGCGAUUCAUUAGGAAGUUUUGCCCGAGACGUUUUGAUAAUUUUGUUUUCGUACCUUCUAAUGGCGCGUCUGCUGGGAUGGUGGUUGUUUGGAAUUCAUCCUUUUUCAUAGGUUCUUUAAUCGAGUCCAAACCUUAUGGGAUAAUUGUGGAGUUUAAAUCCAAACACACCUCAGAAACUUGGACUCUAGUCUCUGUUUAUGGCCCGUGUCAAGGACCUGCCCGUGAUGAAUUUGUUCGGUGGCUAUAUAAUCUUGAUAUUCAGUUUGGUCAGAACUGGCUGCUUUUGGGCGACUUCAACUUCAUGAGAUCAUUGGAGAACCGCAACCUUCCGGGAGGUGAUGCUAACGAUAUCUUCUUGUUUAAUGAGAUAAUUGGUCAUUUAGGUCUUGUUGAGUUGCCGAUCAAGGGGCGUCAAUAUACUUGGUCGAAUAUGCAAACCUCACCGCUCCUAGAACAGAUAGAUUGGUUUUUCAGUUCAGUCACUUGGACAUGUGAACACCCCAACACAAUGGUUUUUCCUCUUGCACGCACUGCCUCUGACCAUGUUCUGUGCGUAGUCUCGAUUGCCACUUGUAUCCCCAAGGCAAAGGUUUUCCGCUUUGAGAAUUAUUGGGUGGAUUUGCCCGGGUUUGCGGACUGUGUUGCUGAGGUUUGGAAUAGGCAAGUGGUCAAAUCGUCGAUUGCAUUAACAAUUUCGGCUAAGUUUAAGUCCCUCCGUUACGCGCUCAAGAAAUGGCAUUUAAAUCUGUCUACAGUCAAAGCUUUAAUUGCUGAUUGUAAUAAAGUGAUUAUUUUCCUGGAUAAUCUUGAGGAAAUUAGGCCUUUGAGUUGGCUGGAGUUCAAUUUUCAUAGAAUUGUUAAAUUGCAUCUUGAGGAAAUCUUACAUUGGCAAUUUAUCUAUUGGAAGCAGCGUUGCACGAUAAGAAACAUCAAAGUUGGUGAAGAGAAUUCAAAUUUUUUUCAUGCCAUGGCUACGGAGAGAUUCCGUAGGAAUACUAUCUCCUCGAUCAAGUCUGUGCAGGGGGAUGUGGUCACGGACCAUCAACAGUUGGCGGGAAUGUUCUGGGCUGAUUUUAAUCAGUGGAUGGGCCAAUCAAAAGGCAUUCAGAUGGGUUUUGAUCUAGACACAUUAAUUACCCGCAUUGAUGGUCUAGAGGAGUUGUCUUUACCGUUCACUGAUGCUGAGGUGGAUGCGGUAAUUAAGAAUAUGCCUACUGAUCGUGCUCCGGGACCAGACAGGUUUACUGGGCUUUUCUUAAAGAAAUGUUGGCCUAUUUUGAAGGACGACUUUAUGAAACUUGUGCAAGAAUUCUAUGAAGGAAAAUGUAAUUUGGAGUGUCUUAACACGUCUCUUAUCACCCUCAUUCCGAAGAAGCUAAGCCCUGAAUAUGUUGGUGAUUUUAGGCCCAUAUCAUUGACCAAUACUUGUUUAAAGUUCUUAACCAAGCUCUUGGCAAAUUGUCUUCAGGGUGUGAUCCUCAAAUGUAUCCACCGCAACCAAUAUGGUUUUCUUCGGUGUCGAUCCAUACAAGACUGUUUGGCAUGGUGUUUUGAAUACAUUCACCAAUGCAAAGCUUCCAAGAGGCCUAUCAUUCUCCUUAAACUUGACUUCACAAAGGCGUUUGACACCAUUGAGCAUGAGUUGAUACUUAGGAUUUUGAAAUGUAAGGGUUUUGAUAAACGUUGGAGAAGUUGGAUUGACAGCAUUCUGUCCACAGGCUCCUCUUCGGUCCUUUUGAAUGGAGUGCCUGGUAAUCAUUUUGUCUGUCGUUUAGGUGUUCAUCAAGGUGAUCCGCUAUCUCCAUUGCUCUUUGUGAUCGCGGUGGAUUUACUUCAAUCGGAUGUAAAUGAGAUGUGCUCCAGGAAUAUUCUCACCUUGCCAAUCCCAACUACCUCGAUGGACUAUCCGAUCGUACAGUAUGCUGAUGAUACACUCAUCGUCCUUCCUGCUGUUGAUAGCCAGCUCAUUGCUUUCAAACAAAUGCUUGAAGUCUUUGCCAAAUCAACCGGUCUCAAGGUGAAUUUCAGUAAGUCCUCUUUGAUACCAAUCAAUAUGACUGAUGAUGAGGGCACACAUCUUGCUGCCUUGCUUGGAUGUGAUGUUGGUUCCAUGCCAUUCACUUACCUCGGCCUACCAAUGGGUACUUCCCGGCCAACAAUUUAUGAUCUGUUGCCUCUGGUGGAUCGUAUUGAAAGACGAUUAUCUGCGUCUUCUUGUCUCUUGAAUCAAGGAAGCCGGCUCCAACUUUUACAGUCUGUCCUUAGUUCUAUGCCAAUAUAUUUCUUGUGCACCCUUUCGUUAUCGCAGGGUAUCCUGAAGCAGAUCGAGCGGAUUAUGCGGCAAUGCUUGUGGAGAGGGAACUCGGAUACGCCUCGGCAAUCUUUGGCGGCUUGGGAUUUGGUAUGUCGUCCUAAAUCUUUUGGUGGUCUGGGAGUUAUGGACUUGAGCAUUCAAAACGAUGCCUUGCUCAUCAAGCAUCUUUUCAAGUUCUUCAAUAAGAUGGACAUACCAUGGGUAUGUCUUAUCUGGGACACUUAUUACGCCUCUGCGCCCCCCAAGUCACGCAAAGCUGCGGUUCUUUCUGGUGGAGAGAUGUAUUCAAGCUAUAUGAUAAGUUUUGUAAGUUGGCAGUUCCACAAGUUCGAUCGGGGGAUACGAUGAUUUUUUGGCUUGACCGUUGGCAAUUUGGCAACAAUACGGUUAACAUGCGGCUUCAGUUUCCGAGAAUCCACUCCUUUGUGAUCAAUGACACUCUAAUAGUCAAGGAUAUUUUGGAGCUACCAGACCCAUCUGACAACCUCCAUCUGCCACUGUCUGCUGAGGCCUUUGAGGAGUUUAAUCAACUUCAGGUGUUCCUUAAUAUGGUUAAUCUUCAAGAUGGGGAAAAGGACGUCUGGAAAUGGCCUUCCAAGACUGGUGACUAUCAGUCCAGGAUUUACUAUUUGUCAUGCUUUUCGGACACAGUGGUUGAUCCCAUAUUUAGGUGGAUUUGGAAAUGUUCUUGUACUUUGAAGUUUAAGGUUUUUGGGUGGCUCCUUUUGAUGGAUCGCCUAAACACUAGAGACAUGAUGCAGCGACGGCACUGGAUUAUACAGGAUGACACUUGUGUUCUAUGCCACUUGAAAUCACAUGAGGACAGAACACAUCUCUUCUUCGCUUGCAAUUUUAGCCAGCGUAUCUGGAAUUACCUGGGUAUUUCAUGGAAUCCACAACCAAACCAGACCACUUAUGACAUGGCUUCUGAUGCUAGGAGGGAUUUUGGGCAUCCUUUUUUCUCUGAGGUAGUAUUCACUGCCACUUGGAAUAUUUGGACGCAAAGAAAUGGGAAGAUCUUCAGGAAUGAAUCACCUUCUUUCAGGGCAUGGAGGAGGAAUUUUUUGCAAGACAUCUCUCUUUUAGCUCAUAGAAUCAAAUGUAAAUAUAGGAAUAGUCUAAUCUCUUCGAUAGCUUCCUUACCCUAACCACUUCUUUUGUAAGUAUUACUCUCUCCUCCUCUCUCUUAACCUUAUAACUUUGUACUCCUUGGCUCUGUGUUUUAAUAAAAGAUUGUGAGGCUGUUGCCUUGCAGUACAUAGUCAAAAAAAGAAUGGAGAAAAUUGUAAUCUAGUAGUACCUCCAUUCGCCGAAAGCGUGGGACAUCCAGCAGUCCUACCACCUCAGUAAUAAAGACCAAUGAGCCGUCAAAUCACAUAGACCCAGCAGUAAGUUGGACGGAUGAAGCAACCAUCACUCUUGCGCCAGUGAGAGGUUGCGCCCGCUCUGCCCGGGCAUGAAUGCGGCACCGAUUCUUUGGAGCGGCGCUGACUGUUUCGGGCAGGAAGCGCGCGCGGGCGAUGGAGGGGCUUUGGGUGGGCCAGGCUGGUUAGGAGCGGGCGUGGCAGCUGUCCGCAUGUCCCUACCAGACACGCCCGGAAACAAGAGGAUGCACCGACUCUCGUGGCUAAAAUCGUACACUACACACCAUCUCUCUAUAGGAGUAGGUCGAUCUGUCGCUCUCUCUAACACACACAUGCUGUUAAACACACACACACACACACACACACAUGCACACACACGCACCUUGGUCCCGUUGCACCUUCUAACGUGACUUAUUACACCUAGACGGAGGGAGUAGUAAGUAUACGAGAUACGGUGGCACACUGACUUAGGUCGAAUACAAGUGCCCAAAAUUGUGUGCAUGUUAUAAUAAGGAUUCACUUAAAAUAGUAUGUGAGCGAAUAGAGGGAUCAAUUGGACAGUGUUCCCGAGCAGUAGCGAGAUGUGUGAGGUAAGAUACACUGCUGGCGCUUUUAAUUUUUCUUAUUAAUUUGUUUGUUUCAUCCUCUAACUGGUGGGACCCAACGUACUACGCGGAGAGAGGUAAGGUGACUAAGGCUGCAUUAUUUCUGCAUCACUGUGGAUAGUCUUACCUCCAAAGCCACAUCACACGAUUAUGAUUGAAAUCCCAAUGACUCCCACACACAAAAAAAACAUGGCAUGCUUGUCACACGAAUGCAGGAAUGCAUAAAAGGUUAGUUUCCUCUCGUUGAACAUAACGGGAGGGUUGUGUAGCUGGUUAGCCUGUUCGCUCAUCAAACUUGAGGUCUCGGGUUCGAUAACUACACUUGAGCAUAAUUUGUGCCAGGAGGAUUCUUUGACUGGUCAAAAUGGAUGGAUACGAAGCUAUACAAUCUCGUAGUGACCUUAUAAUCACCUCAUCACGUAGCUGCAGCCUCGGUGCUUGCUUUCUAGGGUUUGCAUGCUUCACACUCUCUCUCGAGUAUAUAUAUACACGCUAGAGCCUCAGCGCUUGUAGUUGCUCUCUUCACACUCUCUCGCCCUCUCCAGAUCUAAACAAGACUUCAUUGGCCUCUCUCUCCCCUCACUGCUGCUCAAAGAGCUGGCAGGAUCCGUCCGCCGGGAAGGAAGGAGGCUUAACGCUGUCGCCGUCGGCGAGGGAGGGAAUCCACUACCGGCGCAGCUGUGCACUUUCACCCAGCGACGGCGGGGGAGGGCCUCCGACCCCUUCUUCUUCGUCGCCGUCCCGUCGCCCACCGAACAACGCCCCAAGAACCUUAAGGUAUAAUUUACUUACUCCACAUGCAUUGCUCUAGCUGCAUGUAUACCAUGAAUCUAGGACGUGGUUCAAAGAGGAAAGGAGUGGGGGAAAGUAGUGGGAAAAGUUGUAUAUAGCAUGAAUCUAGGACGUGGUUCAAAGAGGAAAGGAAGGGGGAAAGUUGUAUAGCAUGAAUCUAGGACGUGGUUCAAAGAGGAAAGGAAUGUGGGAAAGUAGUGGGGAAAGUUGUAUCGCAUAAUUCUAGGAUGUGGUUCAAAGAGGAAAGGAAGGGGCGAAAGUACUAGUACAGACUGACUAUCGAGCACCUAUGUUUGUCGAAAAGGGAAAACGAUGACAAACGUAGUAUGCACAUCUGUAAUGAACUGAUCUUUUGUUUUGGGGGACAAGGCUGUAGAGUUUGAGAAGGACUAGAUUUGCUGCGCUCACAUAGGGAAAGGUGUCUAAAGAUAACAAAACUGGGACCAACACAAAUAUGCUCCUUGGUUGUUUGUUCUUUGUUGCAACAGACUGUGCAUGACCACAGUACAUCGGUAGAUGCACAUGGUGCUGGUGCAUCCACUGUCCCGUGCAACUCAUUAGUUGUUGUUAAUCUAAGGCCCUGUUUGGUUAAAAACUCCCUAGCCCCUACCUGCUUGGUUCCAGGGACUAAACAUAGACUAGAGGUUAUUAAAUGACAUGCUAUGACCAUGUUACCCCUAGUAAUGAACUAAUAGAGACAAGGUGCGAUGCGUGGCAGGGGCAACUAUUGGAAAAAGUCCCAAAAAGACUCCCUCGGGGUCUUCUUUCUUUAGUCCCAAAUGCCCACUUUUAGUCCCUAAAAGUCCCUCCUGUUUGAUUUAGAUGGGACUGACACGGAGUUUUUUUAGUCCCUACACCAAAAUGUCCCUGUAAACAAACACCCUCUAAUAAUGCCGCUGGAAAAUUGAUGCAAUGCCACAGUUAAAACCAAAUUACAUGUUUAACGAAUUUUAUUGUUAAUAUAAUCUCUAUGUUAAUAUUAAUCAAUGCUACCGUUUGAGAAAUGCUACUGUCUUGCUUUCUUUCCCAUUUAGAUAAGGUAAAUGCUUUUUUUUGUUGGCUACUGUGUCAUCCACCGUUAUUGACCACUAGUUGUUUCCUUUGCACUUCUGUGUGAACAGGGUUAUCUACUUCACCUCAUUUCCAUUAUGACCUUUUGUUGCACUGCACAAAACACUUUUGUUUUAAGAGUGUUUUGUGUAGUUCAACCAAAAUGUCACACUGACAAUGUUCCUUGAUUGCUUGAUCUUAGUGGAACUGCACAAGAGGAGAUCUUACUUCCUAUCCGUGUUGGCAAACUUGGUUCAGAUCUUCUUCUUGUG